rnacentral:rRNA from 1 species
GAGGAACUACCUACAGGACUGGGACAACAACUGGAAACGGUUGCUAAAACCGGAUGUGCCGAGAGGUGAAAUAUUUUAUAGCCUGUAGAUGUGCUCGCGUCUGAUUAGCUAGUUGGUGGGGUAAAGGCCUACCAAGGCGACGAUCAGUAGCUGGUCUGAGAGGAUGAUCAGCCACACUGGGACUGAGACACGGCCCAGACUCCUACGGGAGGCAGCAGUGGGGAAUUUUCCGCAAUGGGCGCAAGCCUGACGGAGCAAUACCGCGUGAGGGAGGAAGGCUCUUGGGUCGUAAACCUCUUUUCUCUGGGAAGAAUAACUGACGGUACCAGAGGAAUCAGCAUCGGCUAACUCCGUGCCAGCAGCCGCGGUAAUACGGGGGAUGCAAGCGUUAUCCGGAAUUAUUGGGCGUAAAGCGUCCGCAGGUGGCUAAUCAAGUCUGUUGUCAAAGCGCGGAGCUCAACUCCGUACAGGCGAUGGAAACUGGUUGGCUAGAGUUAGGUAGGGGUAAGAGGAAUUCCCAGUGUAGCGGUGAAAUGCGUAGAUAUUGGGAAGAACACCGGCGGCGAAAGCGUCUUACUGGGCCUAAACUGACACUGAGGGACGAAAGCUAGGGGAGCGAAA